rnacentral:rRNA from 1 species
CAGUCGCCGCGGGAAUACGGAGGGUGCGAGCGUUAAUCGGAAUUACUGGGCGUAAAGCGUACGCAGGCGGUUUGUUAAGUCAGAUGUGAAAUCCCCGGGCUUAACCCGGGAACUGCAUUUGAAACUGGCAGGCUAGAGUCUCGUAGAGGGGGGUAGAAUUCCAGGUGUAGCGGUGAAAUGCGUAGAGAUCUGGAGGAAUACCGGUGGCGAAGGCGGCCCCCUGGACGAAGACUGACGCUCAGGUACGAAAGCGUGGGGAGCGAACAGGAUUAGAUACCCCGGUAGUCCCUGUCUCUUAUAC